rnacentral:rRNA from 1 species
AUUGAACGCUGGCGGCAUGCCUUACACAUGCAAGUCGAACGGUAACAGGUCUUCGGAUGCUGACGAUUGGCUAACGGGUGAGUAAUACAUCGGAACGUGCCCGAUCCUGGGGGUUAACGAAGCUAAAGCUUUCCUAAUCCCGCAUCCGAUCUACGCAUGAACUCCGUGGACCGCAAGGCCUUGCGCCAACGGAUCGGCCGAUGGCAGAUUAGUUUGUUGGUGGGAUAAAAGCUUACCAAGCCGACGAGCUGUAGCUGGUCUGAGAGGACGACAAGCCACAUUGGGACUGAGACAGGGACCAGAGUACUAAGGGAGGCAGCAGAGGGGAAUGGUGGACAAUGGGGGAAAGCAUGAUACAGCCAGGCGGAGUGCAGGAUGAAGGCGUUGGGGGUGUAAACUGCGUUUGUAGGGAACGAAAAGACUCUGGUUAAGACCUGGGGUGCAUGACGGUAACGUAAGAAGAAGCACCGGCUAACUACGUG